rnacentral:rRNA from 1 species
GGCCUGGCUGGUCGGUCCGCCUAACCGCGUGCACUGAUUCGGCCGGGUCUUUCCUUCUGGCUAACCUCAUGUCCUUUACUGGGUGUGUUGGGGAUCCAGGACUUUUACUUUGAAAAAAUUAGAGUGUUCAAAGCAGGCCUAUGCUCGAAUACAUUAGCAUGGAAUAAUAGAAUAGGACUU